AUCGCUUCUUGGCCUUUUGGCUAAGAUCAAGUGUAAUAUCUUCUUAUCAGUUUAAAAGGUAGUAAAGAGACUAGAAAAAAGUUACACAUAAGAGAAAUCCUAU
rnacentral:snRNA from 2 species